CAGCUAUUUGUGGUGCAUUUUAAUUUUCAAAUGCUUAAACUUUGCAGUUUGAAGCUGUGCAGCCUUUGGCAAUAAAUUGCUAUUGCUGUGUCUCCAGGGAAACAGGGAAUGUGAACAUUGCCCAGAAACUGGGGAGAAAAUGGAGGAAAUGUCAUCCCAACCAGCCAGCAGGCUGCUCUUCAAACGUGAAGGGUGUGCAACAAAUCCCUGAUGCCUGCUUGAAGCAAGGGCCUGGGAAGUACGAGUAGCCCGUGGAGUUCCUCAUGCUGUUGGUGACUCAGAAGACUAAUUAUGGCAUUGUAUCAAAAGCAGCUCUUUCACAACUAUUUCAAAACGUUUGAAAAAGAAGACAGGCAGACCUGAAGUGCAAAGGAACUAGACAGACUGCUGGCCUGGGAGGUGGCUGAGGUGGUGGUGGUGGGGAGGUUGUUUUUAAGUUGGUACCUGCUUCAACAAAGCAGAGCACAGCCUGAGGUUUAUGAAUUUAAUGACAGAAACACAAGAUAAAGCACCCAAACGACUAAAUUCAACUGAAGUGAUGAUGGAUGGAAAGAGAAGUCCCUCAGUGCCUUAAAUGAGGCUGAUUAGAAUGGAGCUAACAGGCCACUGGUUGUUACACAGGUUAAUGAGCUGCACGUGCCAAAGGCAAGGCAGAAUGGGGCAUUGUUUUUUAACUUAAAAAGAGGGAAAACAAAACAGGGUUUGGGUGCUUGUUAAUUCUAACCCCAAAUAAAACUGGAUGUGCAGCCACUUAGUUGUAUCAAGCAGGUGCUGAAUAAUUAGAACAUUGUAUUAGAUCAGUCAAAGCUGGACUGAAUUACUGGAAAUGUGUGGGUUUCAAUAAGAAACAAGAGCUUUCUGCACAGGAUUUGAAAGGAAGGUCUGAAACUGGGGAAAAGAAAUGGGAUGAAAUGGCUUUUUAAAAUAAGAAACUAGCUCCCCUUGCACUGACAGAGCUUGCUCGUGCCUGACUUUGGAAUAAUCCUGAACUUGUAUUUCAGUGUCCUCCACUCCCAGUGCAGAGGAUCCUGGACUUUGCUUUUUCCAGUUUAAAUGGUUGGAAAAGGGCAGAGGGCUGGGUCUGUGCCUGACACACUAACCUGGACAUACAUACAUGUGCUGGUGGUUAAAACAAACAGAAAGACCCUGCUCAGGAGGCAAACAAGCUUCACCACACACAUUUUUACUUCAGAGAGAAUGAAGGAAUGACCAGAUUAGCAGAGGGACACGUCUUCCUAAUUGCAUCUCUCUGAGCUUGUUUGCACACAAGGACCUGAACUGUUGCCAUGUGAACAUAAUUGUUUUACCCCUAUGAAAGUUCAUCUUACAUUUUUCCCCUUUAGGGCACCCCUCUUGUCCAUCCUGCUCCCCAUUUUGCCUUUAAAAAGGUCCAACUUUUAGUAGAAAAUAGGAACAAUUACAUUUUAAUAAAAAAGCUUCAGAGAGAUUUACCUUUCAUCAACCCCCCCUGCUAUGUCAAAGGGGGGAGAAAUCACUGCUGGGUACUUGCUAUUUACAGGAAGCUCUUCAAAACAGAAAAAUAGUCUCUGAAUGCUCAGAUGGUGGCAGAACAGGAGGAGACUUUGUUUCAGGGUCAGCUCAUGUCUGUAAGGAAAGCUCCUGCCAAAUCUCAGCCAGACAAGGACAAGCUGAAGAGACAGCAGCAUCCACAGGGAUCUGAAUCCAACAGGUUCAUCAGUGCAACAAGUGGAACUCUCCUCUCCAUCUCACUGGCCUCCAUGAGGAUUUUUGCCUGCUGCUACUCUGGGAGAGAAAUGGGUUCAGAACUCACUGCAUGAUGCAGCCACUGGAGCUGGACGUGCAUUUGAGGGAAUGGAAUCAAUCGAGUGUUUUCCCCCUCGCAGGGGGAGAGGACUAGGGGGAAAACUGUAGCAUCUUGGGUGGGGUUUGAGCCAGGUACCAAAGCACCAGCUCCAGACACUACCCUGUGCACGCCACCAGCAGUGCUGGAUGGUGGUUUCACCAGAGGAAAAGACACGACUCGUAUUUCAUUCCACAAAUUUUUUUUAAAAUAAAUUAAAAAUACAGACCUUAUUUAUUACAGACCUUGAGGCUGCUAGUCUUCCACCCCUCCCACCUCCCAGCUCAUUCAGGGCUGUUGUCAUUAAAGCCAGAACAAACUCAUGCCAUGUUUUGUGUUUCAGCUGAACACCUUCAUGGGUACCUGACUGUCCCAGCAAGUUCCCUCUCACUUCUGCACAGGCUAAAAUGGCCCUUUUUCCUCAAAGCCAAACCACAAAGCUCUCCCUUCACCUGCAGUGUCCUUCAUGCCAAGCAACGUGAGCCUAUGGAAAUUCAGUCUUGUCAAAACAACUUCAUUUUAUUCUGCUAAGAUUACAAGUUAGAUAGAUAAACAUCAUGCUAGAGAUGUAACACAUACUUGGAAGGGCCCUGUAAUGCUUGGGUUAGCAGUUAUGUAACUGCCUUAUUUUAUAUUUUACUAUUACACAACAUCAAUAAAAAUGCUAAACGGA